ensembl:lncRNA
GCCAGCGUUCACUUGAUUAGAUCUCCAUUCUUGUGGUUCCCAGCCAGUGCCAUCCGGGGAGAGCCUGAAUCAGAGAGGCCGCAGCCAGCGCAGGCAGCACCUGUGUUUACCUGGCUCCACCGCCCGUUUAGAGCGAGCGGCGGCGAGGGGGGAGGCAGGAGGGGGCUCGCCCCGCGCCCGGGGAGGCCGGCUGCUGAGCCCGGGCGCUCCUCUGCCUCCAUCGGCGGGGAGGCCGUCUGCGCCUCGCCGGAAGCGCUGGCAACCAGAGCCUCUCACAACCCCCGGGGUGCCUUGACCUUGCUGCGCCGCGCUAGCUCAGCCGCGGAAUGAUCCUGCCUCCUCGGCCCCAUCAGAACUGCCAUUUUCUGGAUGUCAUACUGUCGAGGAAGGGAUGGUGGUGACAAAUAGCCUCACAUAAAAUUUCUGUGGUAACUUUGAAAACCAACAGCGACCCAAUAAUGGUACCAUGAAAACCAGCUCCAACUAGAACAACUAGACAGAAGACCAACCAGAAAAUGGAAGUCCCAGUUUCCUCAUCUGUGAAAUACAGCCAGUACAUCACCUACCUUAGAGGAUUGUUGAGAAGGUUACGUGACAUGAUAUGUGUCAUACUCUUAGCACAGUGCCUGGUAUAUAGUAAGUGAUCAUCACUGUGGACUGGGGUGCCUCUCUGGAAAAAGAAGGAUUUCCUUCACUCUCUAGAGCCAGUGAAGACCUAAUGGCCUGGGUUCCGGGCAGGAGGGACCUGGUCAAAGGCCGUGGUGUGUAAAGCUGGUUCCUGAAAUAUGGUGUCAGGACUGAGCUUAAAGGAAGGUUGAAAGAUUGAGAUGAUGAUAAGAGACCUCUUCUUGAGAGAUUGACCAGUGAACUCCCGAGAUACUUUUCCCUUCCUGCAGAGUCAUUCUCUUCUGCUAUCCACAAACCAUUGGUAAAGUUUUGUAAACGAUAUGGCCUGGUCUUAGAAGUGCUUGGAAAAUGAACUGUGUCUGCACAGAGACUUGAGCAAAGUGCAGAGAUUCCCAGCAGCCUGGAGAAGUAGUUGUGAAACUCUCGGAGUCCACCCACAGAGAAGCCUAGAACAUUCAGCAGACAGAGAGGCGGCCCAUGAGAGCCCAUUAAAGGCUGGACUUCUUGCUGGUUUAGGGGUGGAAAGGGGGCUUGUAGGUUGUUACUAGGUAUUAAAUAGAAGGUAACCCCUGGAGCCUGGAGAAUUUGAGAUAUCUCAGGGUCGAUCUCAUGUGAGACCAUGAAAGUCCAGAUUUGGGGUUUUAUAAAUUAAAAACUGAGAGAUGCACCACUCACUGGAAAUCCUCAGAGAUGACCACUACCUACUUGUGAUUAGCUGUAACUAGCUGUGAAACCCAGAGCAAGUCAGGUCAAUUCUCUGAGCCUCAGUUUCAUCACCUACAAAGUGAAAGGAAUUAGAUUGGAUCAUCUCUAAAAUAACGAUUAGAUGAAAAGUUUUGCAAUUCUGUCUCCCUGCCCCCUCACCUUGAUGCCCAAUAAAAUGGGAAAGCUAAAGAAAAAAAAUAGAAAUCAAAAGGUAAGGGGAAAAGGAAAAUCAUCGUAGUAAAUAUCAAGUACCCAGAUAGUCAGUAGCCAUAUGAUGAACUACUAUGACUUGUUUUAUUAUGGUUAUUAUAGAUAUAUCUACCCACGUUCUUAGGAAUUCACAUUUUUUUAGUGACUAGUCCCUCUUAUACACAGUAUCUCUUCUUUAUCUUAAUCGUAUUUAUGUCUUGCUUUAUGAAAUUACCGUCAUCUAGGUUUAUGUAAGUACGCUCUAUGACGUUCAAACAAUGACAAAAUCCCUAACGAUGCAUUUCUCAGAACGUAUUCCCAUUGUUAAGUGAUGCCUGACUACUUUCUUGCCGAUUAAAA